AUACAGAGGGUGCAAGCGUUAAUCGGAAUUACUGGGCGUAAAGCGCGCGUAGGCGGUUUAAUCAGUCGGAUGUGAAAGCCCCGGGCUCAACCUGGGAACUGCAUUCGAUACUGUUAAGCUAGAGUAUGGUAGAGGGAAGUGGAAUUCCAGGUGUAGCGGUGAAAUGCGUAGAUAUCUGGAGGAACAUCAGUGGCGAAGGCGACUUCCUGGACCAAUACUGACGCUGAGGUGCGAAAGCGUGGGGAGCAAACAGGAUUAGAUACCCGUGUAGUCC
rnacentral:rRNA from 1 species